rnacentral:rRNA from 1 species
GAUGAACGCUGGCGGCGUGCCUAAUACAUGCAAGCCGAGCGAACAGACGAGGAGCUUGCUCCUCUGACGUUAGCGGCGGACGGGUGAGUAACACGUGGAUAACCUACCUAUAAGACUGGGAUAACUUCGGGAAACCGGAGCUAAUACCGGAUAAUAUAUUGAACCGCAUGGUUCAAUAGUGAAAGACGGUUUUGCUGUCACUUAUAGAUGGAUCCGCGCCGCAUUAGCUAGUUGGUAAGGUAACGGCUUACCAAGGCAACGAUGCGUAGCCGACGUGAGAGGGUGAUCGGCCACACGGGAACUGAGACACGGUCCAGACUCCUACGGGAGGCAGCAGUAGGGAAUCUUCCGCAAUGGGCGAAAGCCUGACGGAGCAACGCCGCGUGAGUGAUGAAGGUCUUCGGAUCGUAAAACUCUGUUAUUAGGGAAGAACAAAUGUGUAAGUAACUAUGCACGUCUUGACGGUACCUAAUCAGAAAGCCACGGCUAACUACGUG